rnacentral:pre_miRNA from 1 species
AGUCAUGCUUUUCCACAGCUUUCUUGAACUUCAAUUCUAUAAACGUGUGUUUGAUCUUCUGAUCCUCCGUCGAUAUUUCACAUACACAUGAUAUGCAAAUAUAGAUGAAAUCGACAUUGCAUAUAUGUGGAAGUUCAAGAAAGCUGUGGGAAGACAUGGCAA